CGGACGGGUGAGUAACGCGUGGGAACGUACCCUUCUCUGCGGAAUAGCCACUGGAAACGGUGAGUAAUACCGCAUACGCCCUUCGGGGGAAAGAUUUAUCGGAGAAGGAUCGGCCCGCGUUGGAUUAGGUAGUUGGUGGGGUAAUGGCCUACCAAGCCUACGAUCCAUAGCUGGUUUGAGAGGAUGAUCAGCCACACUGGGACUGAGACACGGCCCAGACUCCUACGGGAGGCAGCAGUGGGGAAUCUUAGACAAUGGGCGCAAGCCUGAUCUAGCCAUGCCGCGUGAGUGAAGAAGGCCUUAGGGUCGUAAAGCUCUUUCGCUGGGGAAGAUAAUGACUGUACCCAGUAAAGAAACCCCGGCUAACUCCGUGCCAGCAGCCGCGGUAAUACGGAGGGGGUUAGCGUUGUUCGGAAUUACUGGGCGUAAAGCGCGCGUAGGCGGAUCAGAAAGUUGGGGGUGAAAUCCCGGGGCUCAACCUCGGAACUGCCUCCAAAACUCCUGGUCUUGAGUUCGAGAGAGGUGAGUGGAAUUCCGAGUGUAGAGGUGAAAUUCGUAGAUAUUCGGAGGAACACCAGUGGCGAAGGCGGCUCACUGGCUCGAUACUGACGCUGAGGUGCGAAAGUGUGGGGAGCAAACAGGAUUAGAUA
rnacentral:rRNA from 1 species